UUUGACCUUGAAUAACUUGAAGUGGCUCCCUGGGUGUGCUUUGUCUGCAUCUUCUCCACAUCCACCUCCGGUUGAAUGCCUGCUCCUUUCUACUUGUUGUCACCUUGGACUGGAAGUCUCUCCUCUCCUACCACAGUGCAGUUGAGCAAAAGAGGUUAACCUGUGUAAUGAAAGGUUCUCCAAAUUAGUUCACCGCGAAGCCCUUCCAUUGUCAGGAAUGAACGACAUCACUGAGUGAGUAGCACUGUGGACCUGGGCUUGCGCAGAACUAGGCUAGAAUCUGGGGUCCGUGUUCCACCAGCGACAGCGUCACCUCCUCGUGUCUUUCCUUAUGAAACAGGAUCUCAGCAGGGGACAUAAAAAGUAAGAGAAAACAUGAGAUCAUUUUGCUCGGCACCUGGUGUGUAUAAACUCAAAAGUGCCAUAUGUUUAUUAGUUAUCAUUCUUAUUAUUUAUUUUUAUCGAGGUGUAAUUCACAUUGAACGUUAUAUUAGUUUCAGGUGCACGAUGUGAUGAUUCCAUAUUUGCACACACCACGAAGUGAGCACCACAAUAAAUGUGACGAACACCUGUGA